AAUGGGCAAGGACAGAAGUGCACAAACGCAGCAACUGGCACACCGGAGUGUGUCCUGUCAACGUCGUCAUCUCGCUGGCUUGCGUACUCGGGUCUGGUGCUGUGCCCUGACAUCUGUAUCCCCUCUGAAGUGCUGAGUUGACAGAUAAGGCCAACAGAUGUGGUUAUUUGGAGCCAGGGGACAGGCAGCAACCAGGUGAGGUAUUCCGUGGGAUCAUCUCCGUGACAUCAGUGGAAACUUAGUGCCGCGUGCGAGAAGAGUGGCAGCAUGUUAACUUUCCAGGCAAGCAACUUUUCCUGUACAGAAAAUCCAUUUCCUUUGCAGUCUGCGAAAAACGGAGAGCUGAACGAGCAAGUCACUUAGCUUCGUUGUGCCUCUGUCUCCUCAUCUGUACAACAGGGCUGAUAUUUACCUGUUGUAAAUUGGGGUUGUUGGGAGUAAAGCUGGGUAAAAAUCUGAUUUUUUUUUCUGGUUCACCAGCAGUAGCAAAAAACUGCAAGAAAAAAAAAUUAGGUUUGAGUCUAACGGAAUCCUAAAUUUUCAGCAAAUCAACAGUCAGUUUGGGGUCAAACUAACCGUUUUGUUCAACUGUAAACGUUUUGUUUCUGGGUACUCUUUAAGGGCUGGAUUCACAACAUGACCAGAGGCGGCAGUGGUGGACUCCACCCCUCUGAUAACUCUUAACCCAGUGGUCAGAGCACUCACUUGGGAUGGGCGAGAGCUGGGCUCAAUUCCCCUCUGCUCUAUGUGGAGUAGGGAUUUGAACAGGUGUGUCUCACCUGCCAAGAGUGUGUUCUAAGCACUGGGCUGUGGGGUAGCCUCGGGCAGGGCUCUCUGCCUCACCUGUUGAAGCUGCUCCAUUUGUAUAGAAUACUUGAAUAGUCCUUGGAGCAGGGAGGUGAACUUGGGUUUUCCCCCUCUGCCUUUGGCGAGUACCCUAACCACCAGCCUAUGGAGUCAUUCUCUCUCUGGCCCAACAGCUAUUCAAGUAUUGCAUGCAAAGUGGAAGAGCCUCAGAAUACCCCCUAGCCAGGACACUCUUAGGUGAUAGAAGACCCAAGUUCAAAUCCCUGCUCCACAACAGGCAGAGGCGAGAUUUGAACCCAUAUCCCCAGCUGAGUGUUCUAACCACUGGACAAAAAAUUAGGAGGGCAGCUCCUCCUGCUGUUGUGUGAAUCAAGCCCCAUCCCCCUCCACACACACAAAUGGCCAAAACUACUGAGCACAUUUGUGUCAAAUUUGUUAAUAGGUUUGGGUUAACUAGUCAUUUUGGGGAGGGGUGGGGGUGAAUAAACUGCUAGUGGAAAACAAUUCACCUAGCUCUAAUUAGAGCACGGGACUGGGACUCGAGCCAUUUGGAUCCUAGACCUGGCUUUGCCACAAACUUUGUGGGAUCUUCAGCUGGUCACAGGCCAUAAUUUUCAUAAGUGCCCACAAAGCUUUUUGAGUGUUAUCGACUCCUAUUUUAAUGUUAUUUACUAUAUGUUCUCUUCUGCUGGGAGCCUAACUAACAGAAAUACUGACAGGUUUCACAUAGUGUUGAUCGAGGAAAGCAAACAAGCAACUCUGAACAAAGAAGGAACUUAAUGAUAUAGCUAGUUCUCCUCCUUUUCUUAGCUGUCAAAUAGCUCCCUCAAAUACAACACCCGCUGGGGGAUGGGGAUGUAGCGCACACACUGUAAUGCAGGCACUGUAAUUGGUACCUGUGUUAAAGGGUACACACCAGAGCUAUUCAGCUGUAAAAGUAUUUGUUCUACUGUAUUCCUUGUCCACUACUAAGCCUAUACUGCCUAUCUCCCUGUAUUCUCUCUUUUGACUGGACACAGCAUCCUUUCUCUCUUCCUUUGGCUAAGAGUUAGGGUACGUCUAUACUACCCGCCGGAUUGGCUAGUAAUGUUCGAUGUAUCGGGGAUCGAUUUAUCACGUCUCAUCUGGACCUGAAAUCGAUCCCCAAAUCGACACCCGUACUCCACGUCGGCAGGAGGAGUAAGCAGAGUCGACAGGGGAGCCGCGGCAGUCGACUCGCCGCCAUGAGGACAGCCAGGGGCAGAGGUGGAGUUUCUUACCCGCACAGAUAUUUUUACGACCUCAGUUAUGUGCUUUUUUAGAUCUUGAAAUGACUCAUCUUAACUGUGGCUGGAUUGACUUUGAGCGUUUGAGCAAUUUCUUCUGGACUGACCCAAGCACUGAGGUCCUGUUCAUUGAAUUCUACACCUGGCCAGUUUAUUCAAAAUGUCGUCAUGCAUCUUGGCAUUUCAAUUCUUGUUCCCAAAAUUGUGGACUCUGCAGUACCUUGGUGGGAGCUGUCAGCACUCUGAAAAUGCGUCGUCUUUGGCAACAUUAUCACAGAACAGGAGCUCUCUACCAGAUGUGGAAGAGGGCAGUUGCUGAUAAUGGCCAUUGCGGGCGAAUGUGGAGAAUGAAGGCCAAGGAGACCUGUAUGCAGCAGGAGUUAACUUUCAGUCAGGAAGCAGGAAACAAGUAGCUAGACAACAGGACACGGGACCCUAAGAGAAUUGUGGGGAAGGCGCUGGAGGACUAGCAGCUCUCACUUGUUAUCACAGCACUAACCUAAUCAACACUACUGAAAGGUUGUGUUGGGGGCUAAGGAGGUAAGCUCACUCAAGGUCUGCUCUAUAUCCCCACUUGUGCCAACCAAUUUGUGUUAACAUACACAAAAAAACCUGCUCACUUAUUUGUGGUUAUGGGUAGGAUGGAGUUAACAAACACUUGAGUUAUACCUUGUGUUUACUCACUAGUGAAGCCAGGCACACUAAUUGAUACUCUGGUUGGCCUGUUGAGGUCUUUUGUUCUGUUUCUGAGUCCUUAUUUUAAUUGCCUCUGAAAAGUUUCUCUUUGAGUUGACCUGGGCUCUGAUCUCUCGCUGUUGAUGUAAGCUCAGCUUUGUGCAGUAGUUACACAGAGGCAAGAUGACAAUUUGUGCUACUGCAUACAAUUGUGCAUACAGUUAAAAGGGCUUUUUAUUUUAGAAAGGAAUUCCCAGGACUAUUGGGGAUGGGGGGGAGGAUUUUUCAAAUGUUGUAACUCUUCUAACUACAAAAUUCAUGGACAGGGCCAGAGAUCCUAUGCUUAAACCUCACCAGCGUCUCCCUUACAGACUCUGAAUGAAGGACCACAAUUUUAAUACUACUUCAGAUACUCCUGGUAACUUCCUGCUUACAAAUUCCUUCCAAUUUGUCAUAUUUCUACAAAAUAAGUCAAAUCCAGACCUGGUGCAAGUUGAGGCAACCACUGCUGCAAGUACUUGCUUCCAUCAGGUUUGAAUGUUAAUAAUAGAUAACAUUUAAAUGAAUAGCUUGCAGAAUCUAGUCACCCAACAUCCCUCUCUCCUGUCCACCGAGGAAAUCCAAUUUUGAUAUGAGACAAGGCCACUAUACAUUCCUCUCCACUGUAAGACUCUAUUAGGCCUACAAAACCCCCAACCAUAACCCUAUAGCAUCUUUCCUUCAUAGUGCAAUUAGAUUCCCUCUCCUCUUUGCCCUUCUCCUUUUCAUUAACUCUGUGUCCAUGUACCACCCCUCCCCUGCACCAAUAUGCAACUGCCUUUGCUCUGCUGAUCGCCAGAGGGAUCCACAAGACAUUAAAUUAACUUUUGAUCACCAAAAAUUGAGAAACAAACUUUUAGCCAUUACCAGAAUGGAUAGUUCAGACAUUACUACAGAGACCUGCAAAUGAGACCGGGGUUAUAUACCUGGCUCUGACAUAGAUUUCCUGUAUUCCCUUAAGCAGAUCACAUCUCUAAAUGUUUAAAUAGCCUGUAAUUUUGUGUGGCUCAAGUACUGAAUGCUUCAGACAAGUAGGCCCUAACUAUGAGGUGCUGGGUACCCAAAACUGAACCAAAUGGUGUUUUCUUGAAUUAACAGUUUCUCUGACUGGAGCUCCCAAUAACUGAGUCAUCCAAAAUUAAAGGUCACUUUAGAAACUUUGUCCAUAAAGCUUUUUAAGUUCUUGUAGCAUGACCAUCACUGUAGUUUCUCCAUACUUCCUUUUCUUACUGGCCCAGUGUGAGGCUUAAUUCUUUGUUUAUAGAGUGUAUUCAGAUCUGUAGAUAGAAGCAGCUAUAUCGUGUGAAGUUUUAUUAAAAUGAAUAAAAUAUGAAUUUAUUGUAAACAAAAUAUCCUUGUGCAAUAUCAUGAACAGUAAAAAAAAAUCUUUUGUACACAAUUUAAAAAAAAUUAAAGUUUGCAUAAGUAUAA